rnacentral:rRNA from 1 species
UACGUAGGGGGCAAGCGUUGUCCGGAUUUAUUGGGCGUAAAGAGCGUGUAGGCGGCCAAGCAGGUCAGCUGUGAAAACCCGAGGCUCAACCUCGGGCCUGCAGUGGGUACGGGCAGACUAGAGUGCGGUAGGGGAGAUUGGAAUUCCUGGUGUAGCGGUGGAAUGCGCAGAUAUCAGGAGGAACACCAAUGGCGAAGGCAGAUCUCUGGGCCGUAACUGACGCUGAGAAGCGAAAGCAUGGGGAGCGAACAGG